UACGUAGGGUCCGAGCGUUGUCCGGAAUUAUUGGGCGUAAAGGGCUCGUAGGCGGUUUGUCGCGUCGGGAGUGAAAACCUUGGGCUUAACUCAGGGCUUGCUUUCGAUACGGGCAGACUAGAGGUAUGCAGGGGAGAACGGAAUUCCGUGGUGUAGCGGUGAAAUGCGCAGAUAUCAGGAGGAACACCGGUGGCGAAGGCGGUUCUCUGGGCAUGAUCUGACGCUGAGGAGCGAAAGUGUGGGGAGCGAACAGG
rnacentral:rRNA from 1 species